GACGAACGCUGGCGGCGUGCUUAACACAUGCAAGUCGAACGGAAAGGCCCUGCUUUUGUGGGGUGCUCGAGUGGCGAACGGGUGAGUAACACGUGAGUAACCUGCCCUUGACUUUGGGAUAACUUCAGGAAACUGGGGCUAAUACCGGAUAGGAGCUCCUGCUGCAUGGUGGGGGUUGGAAAGUUUCGGCGGUUGGGGAUGGACUCGCGGCUUAUCAGCUUGUUGGUGGGGUAGUGGCUUACCAAGGCUUUGACGGGUAGCCGGCCUGAGAGGGUGACCGGCCACAUUGGGACUGAGAUACGGCCCAGACUCCUACGGGAGGCAGCAGUGGGGAAUAUUGCACAGUGGGCGGAAGCCUGAUGCAGCAACGCCGCGUGCGGGAUGACGGCCUUCGGGUUGUAAACCGCUUUCGCCUGUGACGAAGCGGGAGUGACGGUAAUGGGUAAAGAAGCACCGGCUAACUACGUG
rnacentral:rRNA from 1 species